GUGCCUCUGGAGGGUACAGUAUAGUCUAAUUUUCUUCAUUAUUCAAUUUGGAUCCUGUUAAAUGAGACAGGCAUUCACUGAAAAUUAGGAACACUUAAGUUUUGGCAAAUAAGUUCAUUAGUAUUCGGAAAGCUUUGCACCCCUCAUAUUUAAUAAACCUUUCUAUUACACAGUAAGAAAU
rnacentral:lncRNA from 1 species